CCUGAAAAUGGAUGGCGCUGUAGCGUCGUGCCUAUACUCGGCCGUCAACGGCACAGGGGGCGGCACCCUCGCGGGUGCCGGGCCGUUAUGCCUUGACGAGUAGGAGGGUCGCGGCGGUGUGCGCAGAAGGGUCUGGGCGUGAGCCUGCCUGGAGCCACCGUCGGCGCAGAUCUUGGUGGUAGUAGCAAAUACUCCAGCGAGGACCUGGAGGACUGACGUGGAGAAGGGUUUCUUGUGAACAGCUGUUGCACAAGAGUCAGUCGAUCCUAAGCCCUAGGAGAAAUCCUAUGUCGAUGGGAAGCCGUUGAAGAUGGAAGGCGCUCUUUGCGCUCUUGUCAUUGGAAGGCGACCCACGGGGCGAAAGGGAAUCCGGUUCCUAUUCCGGAACCCGGCUGCGGAACCGUUCAUAAGCGGGCCCUCAUCCGAGAGCUCGACGGGGCAACCCGAAGAGACCCGGAGACGCCGGCGGGAGGUCCGGAGAGAGUUUUCUUUUCUCUAUAAGCGUUCGAGUUCCCUGGAAGCCUAUAGCAGGGAGAUAGGGUUUGGAACGCGAAGAGCACCGCAGUUGCGGCGGUGUCCGGAUCUUCCCCUCGGACCUUGAAAAUCCGGGAGAGGGCUACGCGGAAUGUCCGCGCCGGAUCGUACCCAUAUCCGCAGCAGGUCUCCAAGGUUAAGAGCCUCUAGUCGAUAGAAUAAUGUAGGUAAGGGAAGUCGGCAAACU
rnacentral:rRNA from 1 species